rnacentral:rRNA from 1 species
AUUGAACGCUGGCGGCAGGCCUAACACAUGCAAGUCGAACGGUAACAGGAGGAAGCUUGCUUCUUUGCUGACGAGUGGCGGACGGGUGAGUAAUGUCUGGGAAACUGCCUGAUGGAGGGGGAUAACUACUGGAAACGGUAGCUAAUACCGCAUAACGUCGCAAGACCAAAGAGGGGGACCUUCGGGCCUCUUGCCAUCGGAUGUGCCCAGAUGGGAUUAGCUAGUAGGUGGGGUAACGGCUCACCUAGGCGACGAUCCCUAGCUGGUCUGAGAGGAUGACCAGCCACACUGGAACUGAGACACGGUCCAGACUCCUACGGGAGGCAGCAGUGGGGAAUAUUGCACAAUGGGCGCAAGCCUGAUGCAGCCAUGCCGCGUGUAUGAAGAAGGCCUUCGGGUUGUAAAGUACUUUCAGCGGGGAGGAAGGGAGUAAAGUUAAUACCUUUGCUCAUUGACGUUACCCGCAGAAGAAGCACCGGCUAACUCCGUG